GGGCGUGUGGCCAAGUUGGUAAGGCGUCUGUUUCGCGUACAGAAGAUCUUGAGUUCGAUUCCCAACUCGUCCA
rfam:Ascoidea rubescens DSM 1968 unplaced genomic scaffold ASCRTscaffold_19, whole genome shotgun sequence.